rnacentral:rRNA from 1 species
UACGUAGGGUGCGAGCGUUGUCCGGAAUUAUUGGGCGUAAAGAGCUCGUAGGCGGUGUGUCGCGUCGGCCGUGAAAACCUGCAGCUUAACUGUGGGCUUGCGGUCGAUACGGGCAUCACUGGAGUUCGGCAGGGGAGACUGGAAUUCCUGGUGUAGCGGUGAAAUGCGCAGAUAUCAGGAGGAACACCGGUGGCGAAGGCGGGUCUCUGGGCCGAUACUGACGCUCAUGCACGAAAGCGUGGGGAGCAAACAGG